UGAGCCAAGAGAUUUCAUAGG
rnacentral:siRNA from 1 species